rnacentral:misc_RNA from 1 species
CAUUGCACACCCUCAAGCACCGCUUGGUCUUGGGCGCCAGUCCUCUCGGGACUCGCCCGUAACCCCUUCGGCGGCACCGCCCAGCUCUAAGCGUAGCAAGAAUCUUCCCUCGCUUCGGAGCUCGCGACGGCGCCUGCCGGGAAAAAGCAACGAACCCGUAGUUUGACCUCGGAUCAGGUAGGGAUACCCGCUGAACUUAA